UGAGGAAUAUUGGUCAAUGGGCGCAAGCCUGAACCAGCCAUCCCGCGUGAAGGAAGAAGGCGCUAUGCGUUGUAAACUUCUUUUCCAGCGGGAGAAUUUUUCCGUCGUGACGGGAAUUGACGGUACUCUGGGAAUAAGCAUCGGCUAACUCCGUGCCAGCGGCCGCGGUAAUACGGAGGAUGCGAGCGUUAUCCGGAUUUAUUGGGUUUAAAGGGUGCGUAGGCGGAUAGAUAAGUCAGUGGUGAAAUUCUGCAGCUUAACUGUAGACUUGCCGUUGAUACUGUCAGUCUUGAGUAAGGUCAAGGCAGGCGGAAUGUGUAAUGUAGCGGUGAAAUGCUUAGAUAUUACACAGAACACCGAUUGCGAAGGCAGCUUGCUGGGCCAUUACUGACGCUGAUGCACGAAAGCGUGGGGAUCGAACAG
rnacentral:rRNA from 1 species